CAGACACCGCCCUGUUGACUUCACCUCCGCCUCUCUUGUCCCGGCUGUGGUUGAAGUUGAAGCCCUAGAAGACGAAGAAUUAGAAGCGGAGCCAUUCGUCGGGCGAAUGUCGAGAACCUUCCAUCCUACCCCUCCGCCACCGCCGCCUCAUGAACCACGGAUGGCGCCGCCUCCGCCGCCGAACUCGGUGCCCGCAGCCGAGGGCUCCUCGGGUGGUGCUGGGGUCGCGGCGGCUGCGACCCUUCUGGUCCGGCAUCUACCGGAAGCGAUGCCUUAUGACGUGCUUUCUCGCCUCUUUUCUCACUACGGCGCUUCCUCCGUCCGCCCUUGCGCUGGUGGGAGGCUAAGGAAUUGCGCUUUUGUGGAUUUCAAGGACGAAGCACUGGCUGCUCAAGCACAAUCACAAUUGAACAGGUUGAGAUUCCUUGGAAAAGUCUUAACAGUCGAGAGAGCAGGCAGGGCUAAUUUGAAGAAUGCCGAUCAACAAAAUGAAUGUCAGUCAGCAAAGGAUUCAGCAUCUACAAAAACAUCCCAUCUAAAUGAAUCUUUGGUAACACAAAAGAACUCAUCUACUGGUGAACCGAUUGCUCCUAGGCUGGGUGUGGAUUAUCCUUUUCCACCAAAUCUCGAGUAUGCAUAUCCACCACCUGACGGGAAUAUAUUGACCAAUAUGGUCAACGCCCUUAUUGCUGUUCCUCGUUUUUAUAUUCAGGUUUUGCAUUUGAUGAACAAAAUGAAUAUUCCAGCUCCAUUUCGCAUGGCAUUGCCUACUCCACCCUUACCACCCCCAGUUCCUGCUGCUGCUCCUCCACCACCUCCACCGCCUCCUACUACAACAUCGACAAAACCAAAUCUGAAUGAUCUCUCCAGUGAUGAGUCUGAGAUGGAAUCAUCAGAAGAAGAUGCUGAGAGUGGUCGCAAUCGAAAGCGUAUGAGACGAGAAGUAAUUGUCGGUCCUGCAGUUGAUAAAGGUGUAGCACAUGAAGACGUUGGAUUAAAACCCGUUUCCUUGGUUCCAGUUAUUAGAAAGAAAAAUCCUGUUUUUCAGAUUAAGGUUACCCCUAAGCCAACAACUAAGGAGACUACAGAUUAUAGUGGCAGCACAAAGGAACCAGACUCAGCUAAUCAGGUUUUGGAGCAAAAAGUUUUUGCAUUACCACAAGAGAUAGAGAGUGGGAAAUUGCCUCCAGAGGAGAUAUUAUCUCUUCCCAUGUUCAAGAACUAUUCUCCUGGAAAUCCUGCAAAUGUCUUGUACAUCAAAAACUUGUCAAAAGAUGUGGUUGUUGAUGACUUCUACUAUAUAUUUGGGUCACUUUUUGAAAGUAUUGAAGCUGCUAGAGCUGGUCUCAAUAUUAAGUUAAUGCAGGAAGGGCGAAUGAGGGGUCAAGCAUUCGUGACAUUUCCAUCUGUAGAUCUUGCUCAGAAUGCAUUGAAUCUAGUUAAUGGAUACAUGUUCAAAGGAAAACCAAUAAUCAUUCAGUUUGGUCGUAAUCCUGCUGCUGGAAAAGGAAAUUAAGUCAAAGCACUACAUGCGGGUUCCACUUCGCAUUCUAGCACAAUCUCAAUACUGUUAUAGGAGAGCUGCUGAAGGAUGAAAUGUUAUUGAACUUAAUAUUCAUUAAACAUGCUCAAUGGUCAGGUGGUUGUUGAAGGUUGGUUAUCUUAUUUUUUCUUAGAACUGGCUAAGAGAAAUACUGCAGUAUUGCUGUGUCAUUAUUUUUGCUACAUGUGUUUUUGAGCUCCAUCUAUUUCUAGUCCUACCAGCAGAUGUUUAAAAAUGAAUCACUAGCGUAACCACUAGACUCCAUUUGAAACUUGUGACAACCACUCCGAUCUUUCAUACAUGCUGGUUCUUUGAUGGUAAUUUCUGCAGACCGGUUCUGUGGCAGCUGACAUGAGACCUAGAGCAGAAUGUCACAUAGAUAUGUUCUUGACAUGGAAUUUUGUCAGGUCGAGCAAUUUGAUGGCUCAGAGAAUUUGGAAUUUGGAGACGAUCUGAGCAAUUCGAGCAUUUAGGAAAAUUCUUGUGGGCUGAUCCCAAAGAAGGCAUGCACGAACUGCACCUGUUUUCACAAAUCAAAUUUUGUAAAAGAAAAUAGUCAUACGAGUGUUGCUGUGCCAACUACAUUGCAGCCCUCUGGGGCUCAUCAUGUUCUUUUCUUAGGUUGACAGAAUAAUUGGAAUACAGAAGGAAAAGAUGCACAUUGGAAUUAUCCUCUCUAUCAGGAAGAUGGUCUUCGUGUAGAUAAAUCAUAUCAAGUUCGUUACUAAUCUCGCAAGCGAGUGGAUUAUCUGUGUGGCUUCCUAAUGUGUUACCAACUGACAGCAAACUGUAACUUAUUUUGUAGGCAGUACCAGUCGAGUUUCUUGAUGGGAAAGUCAUAUCCUUGCUAGUGUACAUUAUGUUGCUAGUGAACCUACGAGGAGUAAUUUUCUCUGGGCUGUAUUUUUUUUAGGUUCACUAGGAUUCUUAGAGGUUGGAACUAACAGGUAUCUUUCUAUGGGAUCACCGGUCAAUCUAUUUGUGGUGCAAGAUUUCAUAGAAAAGGAAUAGUGUGUACGCUCCUUCAUAUAGUAAUCAAAGGCCAAGGAGUGGUUCUCUCGACUGGUACUGAUGAGAAUUUUACUCUAUGAGAAAUUGUCUCACGAAACAAAUUGGCCUAUAUCUUGCGCGUACCAAUUGAAGUAGUACCUCAUUUGAGUGUGUGGCACGCGAGGCUUAUUCGACGAUGGAAGAAGCGGAAGCGCGUAUGUCAUUAGAAUUCAAUUGUGUGCUAAUUUGUCUUCUUUGUUUUUAACUAAACAAUCUCAUUUUCACUACUUGCUUGACUUCUCUUGUUUGUUUUUCACUAAACAAGAGAGAAUAUGUGUAUAUAUUGCAUUCUAUAUAAGAGGAAAGCAAAAUUAUAUAUUUUUAUCA